GCUGAACCAGCAACUUGGAGGAAUGUAUAGCAAUAGCUGAUUGCACCAACAAAUAGUUGAUGCAAUAUUGACUCUGUCAAAUAAAAUUCUAGGUAGAAUUAUGAUAAUGACAUUGUCUGCCUAUAUGUCUUGACCAAAUUACGUGCCAGCAGUCGCGGUAAUACGUAGAAGACUAGUGUUAUUCAUCUUUAAUAGGUUUAAAGGGUACCUAGACGGUAAAUCAAGCCUUCACAGGGACUAAUUUACUAGAGUUACUUACGAGGGGGUAUUAAAGUACUGCAGGUGUAGAGAUGAAAUUCUGUCAUACCUCUUUUCAAAAGAAAAAUUAUGGCACAGGUAUAGGUGAAAGCAUCCCCUUAUGUGAUAACUGACGUUGAAGGACGAAGGCUUUGUGUCGCGAACAGGAUUAGAUACCCCAGUAGUCAAAGCAGAAAAUGAUGAAUGUCAUAGAUUAGAUAAAUAGUUUAUUCUAUAAAUGAAAAUGUAAGCAUUCCACCUCAAGAGUAAUUUGGCAACAUUGGAACUGAAAUCAUUAGACCGUUUCUGAAACCAGUAGUGAAGUAUGUUGUUUAAUUUGAUGAUCCGCAAAAAACCUUACCACAAUUUGAAUAUUUAUAUCUAUCUUUUUUUUUCGUAAAAAAAUAAAAAGGUAAUAUAUUUACAAGCGUUGCACGGCUGUCUUCAGUUAAUGUCGCGAGACUUUGGUUAGUUCCAUUAAAUUAACGUAAACCCUUACUUUAUUUUUAUAUGAAGUAGUUCCCCGCUAUAUUGGAUAUGAUAACAGGG
rnacentral:rRNA from 1 species